ACUUGAUGUACAGAACAAACCCAAACCCUAGCCCAUAGUCUUAAUUUCUCCCUUUAGAAAAAGAAAAACUCUCUCCACCCUUCCAUUGCUCUUCUUCUCCACCGCCAUGUCUCACUUCGGAAGGUCAGGGCCGCCCGACAUUAGCGAUACUUACUCUCUUCUCAUCCUCAACAUCACCUUUCGCACCACUGCUGAUGAUUUGUUUCCGCUCUUCGACAAGUACGGCAAGGUGGUCGACAUCUUCAUUCCCAAAGAUCGAAGGACCGGUGAUUCUCGAGGUUUUGCAUUUGUUCGCUACAAGUAUGCGGAUGAGGCACAAAAAGCUGUGGAUAGGCUCGAUGGGAGAGUCGUUGAUGGUCGGGAAAUAACAGUUCAGUUUGCAAAAUAUGGGCCUAAUGCAGAGAGGAUUCACAAAGGAAGGAUAGUUGAAUCAGCACCAAGAUCGGGGCACAGGUCAAGAAGCCGCAGUCCUCGCAGAAGGCACCGUGAUGACCAUUACAGAGAUAGGGAUUAUAGAAGAAGUCGUAGUAGAAGUCACGACAGGUAUGAACGUGAUCGCUAUCGUGGGAAAGACAGAGAUUCUCGGCGCCGUAGCAGGAGUCGUAGUGCUAGUCCUGACUAUUCUAAAGGCCGAGGAAGAGGCCGCUAUGAUGAUGAUAGGCGGAGUGUUAGUCGAUCGAUAAGUGCUUCUCCUGCUCGCCGCAGCCCUAGUACUCGGAAGAGCCCUUCCCCUCGUAAGUCUCCCCCUAGGGGUGAAAGUCCUGAUAGACGUAGCCGUGAUGGACGGUCUCCAAGUCGUCGAAGUGUUUCACCACGAGGCCGUCUAGCUGAUUCUCGGAGUCCAUCUCCUCAAAACUCAGAUGUUGAUGAAUGAUCUUGCUUAUGGCAUCGGAAUUAUGGAGACUUUGAGUAGCAUGUUUCUCGUUGAUAUGUUGCUAGUGUUGAGGACAUCCAAGUAUCAUGCAUUUUCUAGUAUUGCAAUGUUCGGGAAAGAAUGACUUUGGGCAAAUGGACAUGGUGUUGAUGUUGGUGUUGAUGUUGUGGCUGUCGGUGCUGUUUGUAGCUUUAGAUGAUUGUUCGUGAUUAUGAUGCUGGUUAUAGCAGUAUGCUGAUUGUGCAGGACUGUCUGUUUACUAUUUUUAACUGAAAGAUACGGUGAUGGGUAAGAUCUGUGGUCACGUCUUAGUUUCCACAAAGCCUUGUACGAUUUUGGUUUCUGAUGUUUCAAUCUUAUUAUCCUCCGGUCUUCUGAUUUCUAAAUAUUGACACUGAGGAUAAGUUGCUGUGAUGGUAAGAAAGGACCUGAGAUGAUUUUUGACCUGAGGAAUGCUGUCUUUGAUGGAUCUGUAAUGCAUUAUAUCUUACGAGGUUACUAAAAUUUAAAAAAGUAAUGUAUGGUCGCAUUACAGAAUUAACUUGUUCCUUUUUAAUUGCUUGUUUGGUGCAUUCCGCUAAUCUUGUUUAACCAUGAUCUUGUUGCUUUAAUGUUUUGAGUUGUAGCAAAUUUGACCGUGACUGUGUAGCUGUGAAGCGGUUGUAAGAUAUACACGGCUCGUGGGAAACCAUUUGAGUAGCCGACAAAUAAGAUGUAGCAGGCUGUUGCUGCCUUGUUGUAUCACAUUGAAUAUGGUUUUAGCAUAGUUGCUUAGCUCUGUUGCUAGUCUGCUUGUAGCGACCUGUUGCUGCCCUUCCCGUGGGGGAUGUGCCGGUUAUGGCACUAGCAGCAUGUGAUAUGCCGCAUCCGGUCACAUGGCAGGGGUUAGCCUUCAAUGUCACUACUUUAGUUAAUAUGUUCGAAAGAUAUUGCGUGACUAUGUGAUCUAAUAGUAUAUUACAAUCCGGAGACCCCUAUUCUAUAAUGCUUUAGAGAUGGUAAUUAAGGAAUGCAGUGAGUGGUCUUCUGUGCUGAAUCAUCAAGAA